rnacentral:lncRNA from 1 species
UUUUGCCUUCUUUUGUCUCCAUUUAUUCAUCUCCUUCUUCUUCUUCUUCUUCUUUUUUCUUUUUGAUCAAUGAGUUGAAGGUUGAUAAGUUAGCAUUGAUUAGGGAGACUUAAUCUUCCUUGAUUCAAAUCUAAUUCAUCUUGAUCAAUUGAUCAAGUGAAUGGCUUUGCAUUAAGGAUAGGUUGUUUUCUAAAUCAUGCAAAAGGCUUAAAC